CACAUUGGGACUGAGACACGGCCCAAACUCCUACGGGAGGCAGCAGUGGGGAAUAUUGCGCAAUGGGGGGAACCCUGACGCAGCAACGCCGCGUGAAGGAAGAAGGCUUUAGGGUUGUAAACUUCUUUGAUUAGGGACGAAAAAAAUGACGGUACCUAAAGAACAAGCCACGGCUAACUACGUGCCAGCAGCCGCGGUAAUACGUAGGUGGCAAGCGUUGACCGGAAUUACUGGGUGUAAAGGGCGUGUAGGCGGGGAUGCAAGUCAGAUAUGAAAUUCCGAGGCUUAACUUCGGAGCUGUAUCUGAAACUGUAUUUCUUGAGUGCUGGAGAGGAAAACGGAAUUCCUAGUGUAGCGGUGAAAUGCGUAGAUAUUAGGAAGAACACCAGUGGCGAAGGCGGUUUUCUGGACAGUAACUGACGCUGAGGCGCGAAAGCGUGGGGAGCGAACAGGAUUAGAUACCCUGGUAGUCCACGCCGUAAACGAUGGAUACUAGGUGUAGGAGGUAAGACCCCUUCUGUGCCGGAGUAAACACAAUAAGUAUCCCACCUGGGGAGUACGACCGCAAGGUUGAAACUCAAAGGAAUUGACGGGGGCCCGCACAAGCAGUGGAGUAUGUGGUUUAAUUCGAAGCAACGCGAAGAACCUUACCAGGGCUUGACAUACUAACGAAUAACCUAGAGAUAGGUUAGGCCUUCGGGACGUUAGAACAGGUGGUGCAUGGUUGUCGUCAGCUCGUGUCGUGAGAUGUUGGGUUAAGUCCCGCAACGAGCGCAACCCUUAUGGUUAGUUGCCAUCAUUAAGUUGGGAACUCUAGCCAGACUGCCGGUGACAAAUCGGAGGAAGGUGGGGAUGACGUCAAAUCAUCAUGCCCCUUAUGUCCUGGGCUACACACGUACUACAAUGGCUACUACAGAGGGAAGCGAACCCGCAAGGGGGAGCAAAUCCAAAAAAGUAGUCCCAGUUCGGAUUGUGGGCUGCAACUCGCCCACAUGAAGUUGGAAUUGCUAGUAAUGGCAGGUCAGCAUACUGCCGUGAUACGUUCCCGGGCCUUGUACACACCGCCCGUCACACCAUGAGAGUCGGCAACACCCGAAGUCAGUAGUUUAACCGAAAGGAGACGCUGCCGAAGGUGGGGU
rnacentral:rRNA from 1 species